GAUGAACGCUGGCGGCGUGCCUAAUACAUGCAAGUCGAGCGAACAGACGAGGAGCUUGCUCCUCUGACGUUAGCGGCGGACGGGUGAGUAACACGUGGAUAACCUACCUAUAAGACUGGGAUAACUUCGGGAAACCGGAGCUAAUACCGGAUAAUAUAUUGAACCGCAUGGUUCAAUAGUGAAAGACGGUUUUGCUGUCACUUAUAGAUGGAUCCGCGCCGCAUUAGCUAGUUGGUAAGGUUACGGCUUACCAAGGCAACGAUGCGUAGCCGACCUGAGAGGGGGAGGGGCGGCAGUGGAAAGGAGACCGCGUCAAGGCGCGGACGCGAGGAAGCACGAGGGAAUGGGAUGGAAGGGGUGAAUGGAUGAAGAAGCAACGGUGAGUAAGGGAGAAAAAUUGUAGGAGUGUAAAAGUCCGUUAUGAGGGAAGAAAAAAAGAGGAACGAGAUAUGCACGGCGCGAGGGUACGGAAUAAGAAAGCAGAGGAGAAUUAAGUC
rnacentral:rRNA from 1 species